AGACCCGAAACCCGGUGAUCUAGCCAUGGGCAGGUUGAAGGUUGGGUAACACUAACUGGAGGACCGAACCGACUAAUGUUGAAAAAUUAGCGGAUGACCUGUGGCUGGGGGUGAAAGGCCAAUCAAACCGGGAGAUAGCUGGUUCUCCCCGAAAGCUAUUUAGGUAGCGCCUCGUGAAUUCAUCUCCGGGGGUAGAGCACUGUUUCGGCUAGGGGGCCAUCCCGGCUUACCAACCCGAUGCAAACUGCGAAUACCGGAGAAUGUUAUCACGGGAGACACACGGCGGGUGCUAACGUCCGUCGUGAAGAGGGAAACAACCCAGACCGCCAGCUAAGGUCCCAAAGUCAUGGUUAAGUGGGAAACGAUGUGGGAAGGCCCAGACAGCCAGGAUGUUGGCUUAGAAGCAGCCAUCAUUUAAAGAAAGCGUAAUAGCUCACUGGUCGAGUCGGCCUGCGCGGAAGAUGUAACGGGGCUAAACCAUGCACCGAAGCUGCGGCAGCGACACUUUAGUGUUGUUGGGUAGGGGAGCGUUCUGUAAGCCGU
rnacentral:rRNA from 1 species